rnacentral:tRNA from 1 species
GGAGAGAUGGCUCAGUGGUUAAGAGCACUGACUGCUCUUCCAGAGGACCUGAGUUCAAUUCCCAGCAACCACG